AGUGUAACAGAGAGAAGUGAAAAUACAGAUCUAAGAGGAGACGGAGAGAUUCAGGGAGGAGCUGAGCUGUUACUGAACUAUAGAAGAGAGAGGAACUUCCAUAUUUAGCAGAGUUCAAUACACAAACCACAAACAUUACCUUUAUUCAACAUGCUGUCAUUAGACUAUUAUGGACUGUCUCUGCUGAUUCUCACUACUCUGACAGGCAUCAACUGUGAAGAUCUGACUCCAGUCAACAAUGAAGAGUUCAGUUUAGAAGGCAGCUCUGUUACCCUGUCCUACACAUACCUCAAACUGAUAACUGGCAAUGAAUUCUUCUGGUAUCGACAAUAUCCAGGAAAAAGACCAGAGUUCAUCAUGUUUCACUCUGCUUCAGGACAAGUACUGAACAGUCCAUUCCCUGGACUGAAGAUUAAAGUGGAGGAAAAGCAAAUCAACAUGACCAUCUCCUCUGCUGCAGUCACAGACUCUGCUGUGUACUACUGUGCUGUGAGGCCCACAGUGACAGGAAACACCACAACUCUGUACAAAAACCUUUGGAGCAAAGACAACACAAUACUCCACAACAUCCACUAGAGGGAGUCACACACUGUUAAACUUCAACACCCACUGAAGUCCAAUUCAACCAAAGAGAUUAUUUCUGUCUCCAGAGCAGAAAUGUUUGAGGAACUAAAACAGUUUUUUGUUAUGAUUAAAGUGAAAAGCUGAUGAUAAUGAGGUGUUGUAAGAUGAUGAAUCAGUGAAUGAAGCAGUGCUUGAAGGAAAACAGAGAUAUUUUUUAAAUACCAGAUACCUAGUGGACAUAGUACUGAAAACAAAAGUUAAGUUUGGGAAAUAAGCUGUUAUCAACUUCAUUCAUAUUGUGUAUUUUAAGAUUAAACGAAGAACCAUCAACUCUUAGUGGUCCAAACUGUGCUGAGUGUAAAGUUGUCAGUAGGAGGAAUAACAGAGGGCUGUGAAUGAGCCCUGUCACUGUGAUCAGGCUCCUCCUUCUAAUCCACCAACUUAGUGUUGAUGAAGACUAAACAGAGAGCUCACAGCCUUCUUUAUACUUGCUGUAGCUC